UCCCCGCCUCUCCUUUCUUAAUUCUCCCACAGCUCAAAAAAUGAGAUGGAGAACCUGGUAUUUAUCUUCUAGCACCAUCAGCAGUCUCUACCUCAGAUUCCCAUGUUGGUCUUUAUGUGCGAGUUAACUUGGCGGAGCUCUGUCCCUAAUACUCACAGGCUGGACGGGAGCCUCAAGUGUGGCUUCUCCGCCUCGAGCAGCUUCGUUUGAAGACAACUGACAGAAGGGGGUUAAGACACUGAAGGCUCCUGACAAAAGCCUUUGUUACUUGGUUCUCUGCCGCACAGACAGCAUUACGGUUUUGACCAGGGGCCAUCAGAAUCAAGCAGCAGGUAACGGGGGACCAAGAUAAGGUAACGUCAUGGCGUCCGCGGGUCUCCAGCUCCUGGCUUUCGUCCUGGCUCUAUCUGGGGUGUCUGGAGUGCUCACGGCCACUCUGCUGCCCAACUGGAAGGUGAACGUGGAUUCGGGCUCCAACAUCAUCACGGCUGUCGUGCAGCUGCAGGGGCUGUGGAUGGACUGCACGUGGUACAGCACCGGGAUGUUCAGCUGCACCCUCAAGUACUCCAUUCUGUCCCUCCCCAUCCACGUGCAGGCCGCACGGGCCACCAUGGUCCUGGCCUGUGUCCUGUCCGCGUUGGGGAUCUGCACUUCCACAGUGGGGAUGAAAUGCACUCGCUUAGGAGGGGACGGAGACACAAAGAGCCACGCUUCUUUUGCCGGAGGAGUCUGCUUCAUGGCUGCAGGGGUCUCUGGUUUAAUCCCAACCGUGUGGUACACAAAGGAGAUCAUAGCAAACUUCCUGGACCUGACGGUUCCAGAAAGCAACAAACAUGAGCCCGGAGGAGCCGUCUACCUCGGAUUCAUUUCGGCCGCGCUGUUGUUCAUCUCCGGCAUGAUUUUCUGCACUUCCUGUAUGAAAAAGGCUCCGGAAGCUUGGCUCUUUGCAGCCAAGCAGCGGCAUACCUCCGCCAUGCAGCCAGAGGGCAGCUCCGCGUACAACCUCAAAGAUUACGUGUAAAUGACCGUAUCACGUGUAUGGAAUGUUUAGGUGCCUGCUGUGGCUUUCGUCUUUUCGUUUUAGAGGAAAACUAUAAAUGAGGUCAUUUAAAAUGCCAACAAACUAUUGUGUGCGAUUAGAUCCGUUUUAAGAUUAUUCUUCCAUUCCUUUUUUCGUGUUUUAUCCAGUGGUUUAUAACUGAAAGAGGUUCUGUUUUAUAAGACAAUUGAUGGGUUUUUUUUUCCUUUUAAGAUAAACUGUUGACACAUCUUCUGAAUUGUUAUUUAGUUGGAUUUUAUAAAAGAACUAAAUUGCCAAGUAUAAAAAAGCGCCUUUCCCUGUGUUAAUCCAGGGUAUCAUCUGCUUUUGCUGGCUGUUGGUAACCCCAGGGACUUGCUUCUGUUUUCAAGCCUGCUCUUUCACCAUGAGGGAAAGAGGAGAUGUCCAUUUCUCUUAAGUGUUGCCCAAACCAGCCUCCCCAGCUUCCCACCUACCGUGACCUCCCUGCUUCCUUUUUCAUUUUAGAAAAUAUCUACGUACGUGUCCAAGAGCCAACGAUAGGCUAUUCAAAGAUUAGGCAGGCAGAACUAAGGAAAAGAAACUGGUAAAUGCUACCACAGCAAAGCAAAACCAAAUCAAGCGUGAACUGAAAUCUCCAGGAUUGGAAGGCAUUAAGUACAAAGCACAGGGAUGUUCUGAAUUCCAGAAAAGCAGCCAUUUCCUACAAAUAAUGGCCGAAUUCUAUCCAGACUGGACACAGCAAUGAUGAAAUGGCUCGCAGUCCCUCCGUCCCCCCAGGCCGCACCCCUGCUGCAUUCCUCCACCUGGAAUCCUCCCACACUCACCCCUUCCUUGCCCGCCCACGCUCCGACUCCUCCUUCGGGGUUCACGUGAGACCUCCUGUGUGACCCCACUCCUGACUCCCUGAGGGUCGCUGCUUCCAGCCCUGUACUCUCUGAGAAUACGGUCUAUUCAAACAAGUUAUUGCAUCUCCGACUAGACUCUGAGACAAGGUACCGUUUUUACCUUUGUAGCCUCCGUAACUUGCCGACAGCGCUUACGAGGACGUGCCAGUCCUUCCGGGACGUACACGGACUGGUUUAAACCUCAGGAGGACUCUAGGAGGCAGGCACUAUUCCUAGCACAGAGGGGAACUGAACCAGGGCAAAGUACGGUACUUCACCAGCCCAACGGCAGGCAGCUGGUAAGCAGAGAGAUGGGAUUCGACCGGAGGGAACCGGCCCUGGAGUCAGACCAGGUGCCUGCCGGCUUACGCAGGGCACAAGGCUGCGCGGCGCGUGUUACUGAAUCUAGGUCUCGGUCCCCUCCUGUGAAAAUGAGGACAGAACGGCACCUACGCACACAGGGGCUGUAAGGAUUCAAUGACAGGAUGUGCACACAGCAUGGGGGGGGGGGGGCGGUAAGCACGCUCCGGACUUUCUUGGUCUACACCAGCAUUUUCCAAAGGGGGGUGGGUGGAGCCUGCAGAGGACACAGGGCAGCGCCGGGGGCCGGCUUUGGUCAUCACAGCUGGGGUAGCGGUACUGGGACCCAGUGGGCGGAGGCCAGAAAUGCUAUGAAAUACCCUACAGUGCCUGGGCAACAAAGAAUUUUGUAGCCAAAAAUGUCAAUUGUGAGGAGGCUGAAAAACCCUGAUCUAAUGUAUUUGAAUUCUAUUUAAACAUUCAUUUUAAAGAAAAUAAUAAAGUUACCAAACCAAAAGAAAACA